rfam:Populus trichocarpa isolate Nisqually-1 chromosome 1, whole genome shotgun sequence.
UGAUGGAUGAUGAUAAAAAUCAGACGGAUUCCCACUGAUUUACACUGUGAUUACACAACCAGCUACUUCUGACACGA